AUUGAACGCUGGCGGCAGGCCUAACACAUGCAAGUCGAGCGGAGCGGCGGUCGGGUGAGUAAUGCUUAUGACUCUGCCUGGUCGUGGGGGAUAACGUCCGGAAACGGGCGCUAAUACUGCAUACUAUCAGAUGAGCCUAGGUCGGAUUAGCUAGUUGGUGGGGUAAAGGCUUACAAAGGCGACGAUCCGUAACUGGUCUGAGAGGAUGAUCAGUCACACUGGAACUGAGACACGGUCCAGACUCCUACGGGAGGCAGCAGUGGGGAAUAUUGGACAAUGGGCGAAAGCCUGAUGCAGCCAUGCCGCGUGUAUGAAGAAGGUCUUCGGGUUGUAAAGCACUUUAAGUUGGGAGGCGUUACCAACAGAAUAAGCACCGGCUAACUUCGUGCCAGCAGCCGCGGUAAUAC
rnacentral:rRNA from 1 species